UGGGAGGAGAGGACACAAUUGAUUGACUGCUGGCAGUCUACUUUUGUAGGGGCAGGCUAAUGUUUAUGAAUGGGUUUCCUACCCACAAUCGGUUACACUCAAGGAGGGGUAGACUUUUUCAGUGUUUAUGUCUUUCAUUCCUUCUCUUUAUUCACCGGUGGAGGCUCUUCUAGGUUCUCGGCAAGUUGUUCUUAGCUUGAAUGAUUUUUUUUGUGUGGAUUUUCGUUGAUCCUUAGAGGGACCAUGUACAUUUGGUAUGAGAUAUUUAUGUGUUCUUAGAUGGAGGUUUGUAAAGAUUGCUUCAUUCUUUUUUUCAUUUCGAUAGUAUCGUUUAAUUUUUGGCAUAAAAAUGUGAACUUUAGGUUGCAUGUCCUUAAAUUUGAUUUUUUGUUACUUAUCUUUCCCACACUCUCCACAUUUUUCUGCUAAUAGCACUCACAUGAUUUUGAUUGAAACAGAGAUUAUUAACCAGUGUGAACAGAAUCCAUUUCUCUUGUUUUCUUGAGCUUGUACAUAAUCUGAAAGGAUCUUAUUGUUUUAUGAGCUCUAUUAUAAAAUUAAUUUGUUAUGUACUGUCUGCUAGUAUUUGUAGCUGGAUAUAGCAGUAAACUAAUGUAGAUCCAUAAAAAUAUUUUGCUCUAAGCUGGUAGAACAAAUAUUUAAGCAAUUUAUUAUGGAAGAGAUAUAAGAUUUUGAAACAGUUUAAACAUCUAAGAUAGUUGAUACUCUUUUAAAAACAUACAUCCACGUUUGAGAUCUUUCUAGUUUUGAGAGGAUCAGAGUCUGUCUAUAAGGUAUCUGAAACAUUCAGACACUUUUAUCAUAUACAGAGAAUUUCAACACAUUAACAGACCAUUCUGAUUUUGAUCGACAUGGUUUCUACUUUGUUCUACAUAUAUAAAAUUGGAAGUAUUUUUAUAUUUGGUAAGUGGCAAGGGAAAGGAGAAUAGCAAAACUAUGGUUCUCGACUAAUAUAUAACUAGAGAGGAAAACUCGGAGAUCCUUAUCAUAACUAUGAAAGACAUAAUAUGUGAUAUAUUAUUGCUUUCUAAUGUUGGGAUAAAAACGGGCACUCAUUUGGUGGCUUAGCAUUGCUGGCACAUAAAUGUUUUCAGAGAAAGAUACAACAACUGCAAGAACUCCAAGGUGACAUUUGGGUUUAACAUCCAUGCAAUGCCCCAUCUGUCAAGCAGAAUAAGUAAACAAAGAAGUCGUCAGCAGCUGCAUUCCCUCCCCAAAGUGGAAUUAUAAUUCCAUUCCAAUUUUGAGUCUUCGUCUUCUUCUCCAACUCCCUCCUUCGUCACUGACUGGUUCAUCAGCAAGCAACACACCCAGUCGAAGGUAGCUGCUCGUCCCAGUCGGAGGUCCGUGUCAGAGACACUCUUCUCUUCUUCCUCCUGCUUUUCUAAUCUGUUGCAGAGAAAAUGUUGUCUCCCACUCUCAUCAACGCCUAUACCCUCAAAGACAAGCCAUUCUGAGAAUCUUGGUUCAUCAGGGCCUAUCUCAAAUAUUGGGUUUACAUGAAGUGGAGUUGGCCCCUUUCAUUCCAAAUAAUAAGAAGUUCCAUUGAGGGAGCUGUUCCAACUAUUCCCGGGUGAUUCAAACCCGGAAAUCUUACUUCUGUUAUUGAUCAUUAGAAUAAAUGUUGUGUUUUGAGUCAAUUCAUUAAUUAAGAGCCAAAGAGAAGAAGAAAUAGGUUGAGAAGCCACCUGGUAUGUGAGGAGAGUAAGCAUAUAUUCCUGGUCUUCUCUUCCCUAGAUUUGAGAGGAUAGAGGUUCCCAGUAUCUGUCUGACCAAAGCUUAAGUGAAUAUAUAUUUGUAUUUAUAUUAUAUAUUUAUUUAUAUAUAUAUAUAUAUAUAUAUGACUGAAAUAAAAACAUUUUCAAUGGGAAAAAGUCUUAAUAUCCAAAGGUGUUAUUGUGUUUUGCCAACUUAUAUCUGAUCAAAUCUGACCAAUAUCUAAGCUAAAUACUAUAGUAUCUAUCCAUCUAUAUAUGUGAUGUUGAACAUGUUUUUGUUCUUGUGUUCAUACACACAUUAGAUUUAGUUUCUUUCUUUCUUUUGUUGUUAUCUUAAUUGGAACAAUAUCUUUUACUAGAUCUUCUGAUAAAAAGAUCACAAUAAGGGAAUAAUAUAUUUCAUUACAUCACUUGUGAUAUUUAUGAAUGGUUCUAAAUAUUCAUGCAAAAUUAUUUAAACCAACCACACAAUAAGCAAGAAACACCAUAUACUUAGGUGUCAUCACAAUAAGCAGAGUGGUCAUAGUGGCUACUGCAGAUUCAUUAGCACUAGCAGCAGAAACAGAAACUUUGAGAGCCUUGCAUCUUCUUUUGGUCCCUGAGAUGACAACCCAGUAAAAGUUGGCUUCAAUCCUAGCCAACUCCAUAUUCACCUGAGCCAAGCAAACCACACCAAAAAUUUCUGGGCUGAGCAAAGGAUGUUGUUAAGUACCUGAGAUAUUGUACUUGGUUCUGUUAUGAAAAUAUCAGAAUACAACAAAAUAAAGCCUAUUCUCAUCUAGUGAUACCAUCAUGAAUGCGAAGAAACACUACGAGCUAUCUAUAAAUGCGACAUUGUUUAGCUAGGAUAUAAAAGUAAGAACUCAUCAUCUCAUCUCGUGUCCACAUUUUAGAACUGAAUGUAGACAAACCUGAUUGUUUUCCAGUGCCUAUAUAAGGUGUGUGUGUGUAUGACAGUUUAGCCAACUCUUUUCAUUUUGUAAAAGCUCCAAACAAGUAUAUGUAAGCUCAAGAUUUUAGGUAGAGAAAUGACCAAGCAUUGCAUCACCAACUAAUUGGUUUAUUCAUCUACCUCUACUAAACUGGAAUAUUCACUUCAAAAAGCUAAUGAUACAAUAGUUCUCAAUGCUUAGAUCCCAAAAUAACAUUAGUGGUUUCAGUGAGUGAGUACUACCUCUAUCAAAUUACAAUCUUUGGUUUUCUGAUCACAAUAAGCAGAGUGGUCAUCUUUAAUUUAAAUUUUCUCUUGUUUCGGAUUAAAAAACACACUUAAUAUGCUUAGCCGAAUUUCAAUGCAUAAAAGAAACAAGGAGCCCACCUUUCCCACUUUCUCCAUCUUCUAAAUAACUCGACAAACUUUCAAUUUAUUACAAAUUAGAUAGGAAAACAUAAUCUGUCUGUGUUUCUUCUAAUAUGGGAGGCAAAUUUUAGGGAAUUAGGUUAAUGUUUGUCUGACUUCUUCUUUGUCCGACUAUUUCUUAGUAUUUUAUCUAUUUUCAAGCUUUCCUAGUUUUUAGCUAAUUAGUUGUAACAGCUUCAAGUCUGAAAAGGCUAUAUGUAUUUGUUUGUACGUUUUCUUUCUGUGAACUAUAAGAAGGAAAAAAAUAAUUAUUUUUAUUCCAAAUAUUCUUUAUAUAUAUAUAGUAAUCUAUUCUUAUUUCUUUGUCUAAGUUGUGCCUGUUGUUUAUAAUCUUCUAGGUGAAUAACUGAUUGUUGGAUUAAAAAUUUUAUUUGCUUGAUUAUAUUCA